rnacentral:rRNA from 1 species
UAGGGAAUCUUCGGCAAUGGACGAAAGUCUGACCGAGCAACGCCGCGUGAGUGAAGAAGGUUUUCGGAUCGUAAAACUCUGUUGGUAGAGAAGAACGUUGGUGAGAGUGGAAAGCUCAUCAAGUGACGGUAACUACCCUAGAAAGGGACGGCUAACUACGUGCCAGCAGCCGCGGUAAUACGUAGGUCCCGAGCGUUGUCCGGAUUUAUUGGGCGUAAAGCGAGCGCAGGCGGUUUAUUAAGUCUGGUGUAAAAGGCAGUGGCUCAACCAUUGUAUGCAUUGGAAACUGGUAGACUUGAGUGCAGUGCAGCAGAGUG